rnacentral:rRNA from 1 species
UACGUAGGGUGCAAGCGUUGUCCGGAAUUAUUGGGCGUAAAGAGCUCGUAGGCGGUUUGUCGCGUCUGCUGUGAAAACUCGGGGCUUAACUCCGGGCCUGCAGUGGGUACGGGCAGACUAGAGUGUGGUAGGGGAGACUGGAAUUCCUGGUGUAGCGGUGGAAUGCGCAGAUAUCAGGAGGAACACCGAUGGCGAAGGCAGGUCUCUGGGCCAUUACUGACACUGAGAAGCGAAAGCAUGGGGAGCGAACAGG